rnacentral:rRNA from 1 species
GACGAACGCUGGCGGCGUGCUUAACACAUGCAAGUCGAACGAUGAAGCCAGCUUGCUGGUGGAUUAGUGGCGAACGGGUGAGUAACACGUGGGCAACCUGCCCCCGGCUCUGGGAUAACUCCAAGAAAUUGGUGCUAAUACCGGAUAUUCUUCUUGCACCGCAUGGUGGUUGGAGGAAAGUUUUUCGGCUGGGGAUGGGCCCGCGGCCUAUCAGCUUGUUGGUGGGGUGAUGGCCUACCAAGGCGACGACGGGUAGCCGGCCUGAGAGGGUGACCGGCCACACUGGGACUGAGACACGGCCCAGACUCCUACGGGAGGCAGCAGUGGGGAAUAUUGCGCAAUGGGCGGAAGCCUGACGCAGCGACGCCGCGUGAGGGAUGACGGCCUUCGGGUUGUAAACCUCUUUCAGCAGGGACGAAGCGGAAGUGACGGUACCUGCAGAAGAAGCACCGGCCAACUACGUGCCAGCAGCCGCCGUAACAC